rnacentral:lncRNA from 1 species
UUUUUUUUUUUUUUAAGAUUGAGUGGUACACUAAUAAAUGAGAGUUUGCAAUUAGAGGUAAUUUAUGUUUUAUAUACAGAUUUCAAGACAUUUGCUAAUUUUGUAGUUUCACAUGAUUAGUUUCCAAGGGUUACAGAUAAUAAAGAAAUCACAAGUGGUACCUUUCUAAGAAUUGCAUAUUUUUUUAGACACAACUAUUAGCACAUUAAGAGGGAAGCCAAAAGUUAUUGUCUGCUUCAAACUGGAAGCAGUUCCUCUCCUGACUUCUCCCUCGUUACCCGACUGUCCGGCUCCCUGCAGCAGCCUUACCGAGAGGGAGAUUGGCUUGAGAAGCCAGUGUUACUGUUGUGACUGUUGGCUGAGAGGAAGUUUAGAUGAGGUUCAAGUAAACCCUUUCCUGCGGGCAUUUCGUUUUGUUUCGGGCCAUUCUAGCUAGUACUGCUUCGCUCUCAGUGGGUACCGAUGCUUGCUCUGUAAAAAUAAAUUUUUUUCGUUAAAAAUUCUUAUAUGAAGAAUUGAGUAUUAUGACUAGCCCACUCUAACGGAGUGUGUCUCCGUUGAGGACCUUCAGAGGACACUAUUUGCUACCAAAGUGAACCAGUAUUCUGAAUGUGCUUCUCUUGGUUUCUGUUCUAGUUCCUAGAAGCAUUUCCACCAGAACUUGAGGCAAAACAUAAGGAAGCUGUUUCUUUUAAAGUACAAACACCACCAAAAAUAUCAGUGUACAUAGUGCUUUAUGUAUUUGGCUGGCUUUUAUUUUUUAAAAGGUUUAAAUAACAAAAAAGGAAAAAAAGGUAUAGCAUUGUAUGAAGGCAGAUGAGGCGACACACCUGUGACAUUUGAAGCAUUUGUGUUACUAACUUACUAGAUCCGGUUUGAAUUGAAUUCACAAGGUUUCUUACUUGUCCAACUCCAGGCUUAUUUUACGUACAUACAACCUGACCAGUGGUUUCAAAAGCACAUUUAGUGACUGCAAUAGGACAGAAAUGCUUCUCUAGACACAUCUUCAUUGCGAGCGUCUCAUCGCAUAUGCUCUUAGAGUUCUGAAUGUAGGAUGUUUGUUUUGUAUUUUUGUAUUGUAUAUGGGCUUUUUAAAUGUGACAGUUAAAUGCAUCUUUAAUAGUCACAGACAAAAGAGAUGAUAAAAUGUCCUUUGAAAAUGGCAAUGUUGAGUUUGGAGGCAGCUUCGGGGAGUUUCCUGGGUGGCGAUGAUUCACUGGGCAGUUUUUAAUGUAGUGACUUCAAGAAGCAGCCUGCGGAUAUUCCUAACACUUGGUUCACUACAGUUUAGUUUACUUCAUAAGCCCCAAGUAAAACGAUGGAAAUGUACAUAGCACUAUUAGUUCAUACAUGAUUUAAGUAUAUCAAGAUACAUAAAUUUAACAUUUAUGUCUGCAAACUGUCCAUUUGUCCAUUUUACUGUUUGUUGAAAUAACACCUCUCCUACAUAUUCUUUACUUGACUCGAAUAACAAAUUAACCUGACGUCAAGAUGGAGAGAGACGACUGAGCUGAAUGUCUUUACUAAAAUUACAAUAAAUUUUGUCAAACUUG